rnacentral:rRNA from 1 species
GACGAACGCUGGCGGCGUGCCUAAUACAUGCAAGUCGAGCGAGACUCUUCGGAGUCUAGCGGCGGACGGGUGAGUAACACGUGGGCAACCUGCCUGUAAGACUGGGAUAACACCGGGAAACCGGUGCUAAUACCAGAUAAUCCUUUUCCUCUCAUGAGGAAAAGCUGAAAGUCGGUUUCGGCUGACACUUACAGAUGGGCCCGCGGCGCAUUAGCUAGUUGGUGAGGUAACGGCUCACCAAGGCGACGAUGCGUAGCCGACCUGGGAGGGUGAUCGGCCACACUGGGACUGAGACACGGCCCAGACUCCUACGGGAGGCAACAGUAGGGAAUCUUCCACAAUGGACGAAAGUCUGAUGGAGCAACGCCGCGUGAGCGAUGAAGGCCUUCGGGUCGUAAAGCUCUGUUGUUAGGGAAGAACAAGUACCGGAGUAACUGCCGGUACCUUGACGGUACCUAACCAGAAAGCCACGGCUAACUACGUGCCAGCAGCCGCCGUAACAC